UUGCUCCCUGAUGUUAGCGGCGGACGGGUGAGUAACACGUGGGUAACCUGCCUGUAAGACUGGGAUAACUCCGGGAAACCGGGGCUAAUACCGGAUGGUUGUUUGAACCGCAUGGUUCAGACAUAAAAGGUGGCUUCGGCUACCACUUACAGAUGGACCCGCGGCGCAUUAGCUAGUUGGUGAGGUAACGGCUCACCAAGGCGACGAUGCGUAGCCGACCUGAGAGGGUGAUCGGCCACACUGGGACUGAGACACGGCCCAGACUCCUACGGGAGGCAGCAGUAGGGAAUCUUCCGCAAUGGACGAAAGUCUGACGGAGCAACGCCGCGUGAGUGAUGAAGGUUUUCGGAUCGUAAAGCUCUGUUGUUAGGGAAGAACAAGUGCCGUUCAAAUAGGGCGGCACCUUGACGGUACCUAACCAGAAAGCCACGGCUAACUACGUGCCAGCAGCCGCGGUAAUACGUAGGUGGCAAGCGUUGUCCGGAAUUAUUGGGCGUAAAGGGCUCGCAGGCGGUUUCUUAAGUCUGAUGUGAAAGCCCCCGGCUCAACCGGGGAGGGUCAUUGGAAACUGGGGAACUUGAGUGCAGAAGAGGANAGUGGAAUUCCACGUGUAGCGGUGAAAUGCGUAGAGAUGUGNAGGAACACCAGUGGCGA
rnacentral:rRNA from 1 species